UAACUGAAAUUUCUUAAGCAUUGGAGGACUUGUUUCUGCUAUCCCUCCUAAUCAAAUAAAAAGCUCUCCAAGAGCAGGCAUCAGUCCCUAGAAGGUUCUCCUUGUGGACAGCCUUUCCCACUCAGGCAAAGUGGUCCAUUUACAUAGAAAUGAUCCUUUUAGAAGGUGUUUUGUGAUUUUCAAUUGUCCCUCGAAAUAAAAAUCACAGCUCCUGUCUCACCUUGGUUGAAGUGUUUUCACACUACCCAGGCUGGAGUACAGUGGCACAAUCUCAGCCCACUGCAACAUCCGUCCCAGGUUCAAGCAAUUCUCCUGCCUCAGCCUCCCAAAUAGCCAAGAUUACAGGCACGUGCCACCGUGCCUGGCUAACACCAUUCCCCACUCUUGAUGAUUGAUUCUGAUCAACCUGCAUAUUUCAUGCGCUGCCUCCCUGCCUCAAAUAAAUAAAUCAGGGCCUCCUCUGAGCAGCAGGACCUGAUUGGGGCAUCUGCAGGGCUCAGGACUUCAAAAGGCCAAAGCAGGGAUGCUGGAGCCCCCCAGCAGAUUCUGCUAAUGUGACAUUUAGGGGCCGGGUGACCCAGGUAAGCAACAGCCGCUUGCGCAGUGUGAUGCCCCCUAAAUGGCGAGGACCCUUGUGGGGAGAAGGAAGUGACUUUUACAGCCCCUGUUUCCACCACCCACGGUCAGAGGAACACAGGCAGAAGUGUGGCCCAGGGGAUUCCCUGUUCUGUUUUCUGAAUGUUUCUAAGGGCCAGCAGUGCACCUG
rnacentral:lncRNA from 1 species